AGUGAACGCUGGCGGUAGGCCUAACACAUGCAAGUCGAACGGCAGCACAGUAAGAGCUUGCUCUUACGGGUGGCGAGUGGCGGACGGGUGAGGAAUACAUCGGAAUCUACUUUUUCGUGGGGGAUAACGUAGGGAAACUUACGCUAAUACCGCAUACGACCUACGGGUGAAAGCAGGGGAUCUUCGGACCUUGCGCGAUUGAAUGAGCCGAUGUCGGAUUAGCUAGUUGGCGGGGUAAAGGCCCACCCAGGCGACGAUCCGUAGCUGGUCUGAGAGGAGGAUCACCCACACUGAAACUGAGACACGGUCCAGACUCCUACGGGAGGCAGCAGUGGGGAAUAUUGGACAAUGGGCGCAAGCCUGAUCCAGCCAUGCCGCGUGGGUGAAGAAGGCCUUCGGGUUGUAAAGCCCUUUUGUUGGGAAAGAAAAGCAGCAGGUUAAUACCCCGCUGUUCUGACGGUACCCAAAGAAUAAGCACCGGCUAACUUCGU
rnacentral:rRNA from 1 species